rnacentral:misc_RNA from 1 species
GAAAUGCGAUAAGUAAUGUGAAUUGCAGAAUUCAGUGAAUCAUCGAAUCUUUGAACGCACAUUGCGCCCGCUAGUAUUCUGGCGGGCAUGCCUGUUCGAGCGUCAUUUCAACCAUCAAGCCCUUGCUUGUGUUGGGGUCCUGCGGCUGCCCGCAGGCCCUGAAAACCAGUGGCGGGCUCGCUAGUCACUCCGAGCGCAGUAAUACAUCUCGCUCAGGGCGUGCGGCGGGUUCUUGCCGUUAAACACACCAAUUUUAUCAAAGGUUGACCUCGGAUCAGGUAGGAAUACCCGCUGAACUUAA